rnacentral:rRNA from 1 species
GAUGAACGCUGGCGGCGUGCCUAAUACAUGCAAGUCGAGCGAACAGACGAGGAGCUUGCUCCUCUGACGUUAGCGGCGGACGGGUGAGUAACACGUGGAUAACCUACCUAUAAGACUGGGAUAACUUCGGGAAACCGGUGCUAAUACCGGAUAAUAUCUUUAACCGCAUGGUUCAAUAGUGAAAGAUGGUUUUGCUGUCACUUAUAGAUGUAUCCGCUCCGCAUUAGCUAGUUGGUAAGGUAACGGCUUACCAAGGCAACGAUGCGUAGCCGACCUGAGAGGGUGAUCGGCCACACUGGAACUGAGACACGGUCCAGACUCCUACGGGAGGCAGAAGUAGGGAAUCUUCCGCAAUGGGCGAAAGCCUGACGGAGCAACGCCGCGUGAGUGAUGAAGGUCUUCGGAUCGUAAAACUCUGUUAUUAGGGAAGAACAAAUGUGUAAGUAACUAUGCACGUCUUGACGGUACCUAAUCAGAAAGCCACGGCUAACUACGUG